GUUGUGCUGGUUAAAUUAAAAGAUAGUGCUAAGUAUGUAGAACUGUCUGUAGAGUGCUUGCGGACGCGGGUUCGAUUCCCGCCGUCUCCACCA
rnacentral:tRNA from 1 species